rnacentral:rRNA from 1 species
UUCCGGUUGAUCCCGCCGGAGGUUACUGCUAUUGGUGUUCGACUAAGCCAUGCAAGUCAUAUGUUCCUCGUGAACAUGGCAUACUGCUCAGUAACACGUGGAUAACCUGCCCUUGGGUCUGGGAUAACCCCGGGAAACUGGGGAUAAUACCGGAUAACGCAUAUGUGCUGGAAUGCUUUAUGCGUAAAACGGAUUCGUCCGCCCAAGGAUGGGUCUGCGGCCUAUCAGGUAGUAGUGGGUGUAAUGUACCCACUAGCCAACAACGGGUACGGGUUGUGAGAGCAAGAGCCCGGAGAUGGAUUCUGAGACAUGAAUCCAGGCCCUACGGGGCGCAGCAGGCGCGAAAACUUUACAAUGCGGGAAACCGUGAUAAGGGAACACCGAGUGCCAGCAUCAUAUGCUGGCUGUCCAGAUGUGUAAACUACAUCUGUUAGCAAGGGCCGGGCAAGACCGGUGCCAGCCGCCGCGGUAACACCGGCGGCCCGAGUGGUGACCGUUAUUAUUGGGUCUAAAGGGUCCGUAGCCGGUUUGGUCAGUCCUCCGGGAAAUCUGAUAGCUUAACUGUUAGGCUUUCGGGGGAUACUGCCAGGCUUGGAACCGGGAGAGGUAAGAGGUACUACAGGGGUAGGAGUGAAAUCUUGUAAUCCCUGUGAGACCACCUGUGGCGAAGGCGUCUUACCAGAACGGGUUCGACGGUGAGGGACGAAAGCUGGGGGCACGAACCGGAUUAGAUACCCGGGUAGUCCCAGCCGUAAACUAUGCUCGCUAGGUGUCAGGCAUGGCGCGACCGUGUCUGGUGCCGCAGGGAAGCCGUGAGGCGAGCCACCUGGGAAGUACGGUCGCAAGGCUGAAACUUAAAGGAAUUGGCGGGGGAGCACCACAACAGGUGGAGCCUGCGGUUUAAUUGGACUCAACGCCGGGAAGCUCACCGGAUAAGACAGCAGAAUGAUUGCCGGGCUGAAGACUCUGCAUGACUAGCUGAGAGGAGGUGCAUGGCC